rnacentral:rRNA from 1 species
GACGAACGCUGGCGGCGUGCCUAACACAUGCAAGUCGAACGAAGUAAGUUGCUUCACCAAGUGUUGAAUAGCUACCCCCAAGCGCAUUUGCCAAAGGGUAAGCAAAAAGUACUAUCAAUUAAAUAAAAUGGUGAAACAAAAGAAUAGCGAAGAAGAAGCAAAUGCGCUUCACGCUAAUUCCAAGUACCAACACAAAACAAAUUCAAUGUUUGGUGAAGCAACUUGCUUAGUGGCGGACGGGUGAGUAACGCGUGAACAAUCUGCCCCGUACAAAGGGAUAGCCUCGGGAAACCGGGAUUAAAACCAUAUAACACUUAACUGCCGCAUGGUAGUGAAGUCAAAUCGAUUAAGAGGUAUGGGAUGAGUUCGCGUCUGAUUAGCUAGUUGGUGAGGUAAGGGCUCACCAAGGCGACGAUCAGUAGCCGGCCUGAGAGGGUGAACGGCCACACUGGAACUGAGACACGGUCCAGACUCCUACGGGAGGCAGCAGUGGGGAAUAUUGCACAAUGGA